UGGUACUCAGGGCUCUAUUGUCCCUCCAUCAGGUCCUAAUGGCCUGGUACUCAGGGCUCUAUUGUCCCUCCAUCAGGUCACUAAUGGCCUGGUACUCAGGGCUCUAUUGUCCCUCCAUCAGGUCCUAAUGGCCUGGUACUCAGGGCUCUAUUGUCCCUCCAUCAGGUCACUAAUGGCCUGGUACUCAGGGCUCUAUUGUCCCUCCAUCAGGUCACUAAUGGCCUGGUACUCAGGGCUCUAUUGUCCCUCCAUCAGGUCACUAAUGGCCUGGUACUCAGGGCUCUAUUGUCCCUCCAUCAGGUCACUAAUGGCCUGGUACUCAGGGCUCUAUUGUCCCUCCAUCAGGUCCUAAUGGCCUGGUACUCAGGGCUCUAUUGUCCCUCCAUCAGGUCACUAAUGGCCUGGUACUCAGGGCUCUAUUGUCCCUCCAUCAGGUCACUAAUGGCCUGGUACUCAGGGCUCUAUUGUCCCUCCAUCAGGUCCUAAUGGCCUGGUACUCAGGGCUCUAUUGUCCCUCCAUCAGGUCCUAAUGGCCUGGUACUCAGGGCUCUAUUGUCCCUCCAUCAGGUCCUAAUGGCCUGGUACUCAGGGCUCUACUGUCCCUCCAUCAGGUCACUAAUGGCCUGGUACUCAGGGCUCUAUUGUCCCUCCAUCAGGUCCUAAUGGCCUGGUACUCAGGGCUCUAUUGUCCCUCCAUCAGGUCACUAAUGGCCUGGUACUCAGGGCUCUAUUGUCCCUCCAUCAGGUCCUAAUGGCCUGGUACUCAGGGCUCUAUUGUCCCUCCAUCAGGUCCUAAUGGCCUGGUACUCAGGGCUCUACUGUCCCUCCAUCAGGUCACUAAUGGCCUGGUACUCAGGGCUCUAUUGUCCCUCCAUCAGGUCCUAAUGGCCUGGUACUCAGGGCUCUAUUGUCCCUCCAUCAGGUCACUAAUGGCCUGGUACUCAGGGCUCUAUUGUCCCUCCAUCAGGUCCUAAUGGCCUGGUACUCAGGGCUCUAUUGUCCCUCCAUCAGGUCACUAAUGGCCUGGUACUCAGGGCUCUAUUGUCCCUCCAUCAGGUCACUAAUGGCCUGGUACUCAGGGCUCUAUUAUCCCUCCAUCAGGUCCUAAUGGCCUGGUACUCAGGGCUCUAUUGUCCCUCCAUCAGGUCCUAAUGGCCUGGUACUCAGGGCUCUACUGUCCCUGUAACCACUCUGACAUCAAUACAAAUGCCUUCGAAAAUCACAUCAAACACGGAUCAUCAAAACAGCCUAUAGUGCUUUUAAAACUCACCUCAUCUGUGAUGAUCAAUUUAAAGAAAGAAGUUCAACAGCAGGUUGAAACGGAGUGUAAAAUAAUAGUGGUUGUUUCAAAGCCUAACAACAAUGAAAAUGGGCCAGCGCUUUCUAAAGGGAUGAUUAAAACAACAAAACGCAUAUUAGAGUUAUUGGCUCAUGAACCUUCUUUAGACCGGACUGAAAUAAAACAUGGAUUUAAAUAAUGGAUAAUGGAGUAUAUAACAAUGGUUUAAUAUACUUUAAAAAUAAUAAAUGUAGAUGUUCCAUCAGCGUCUUGUAUGUGUAGAAACCUUGAGAUGCUAAACGUUUUAUAAAAAUGUUAAUUAACGGUUAAUUAGCGUGAUGCAAAAUGUCAUGAGUAUUUCCUGUGUGUGUCUACUUCCUGUGUGUGUGUGUGUGUGUCUACUUCCUGUGUGUGUGUGUGUGUCUACUUCCUGUGUGUGUGUGUGUGUGUGUGUGUGUGUGU